ACCCAUCCCCAGCAACGCCAACCUGCAGAAGGAAAGGCCAGUUUGUAUGUCGUUCACUUUCAAAGGUCACGGAGAUCAUUACGUAAAACUGUCAAUGCGGUGGUGUAGAGGUUGGGUGAGAACGGGAAGCGUUUGCCUCAUUUUCAAGCAGGUAAAUAGCCGCAAGGCUUAAGAGAGGGGUCAGGGUGAGAAAAAGUAGUUUAAAAGGAGAGAGAAAAGGCCAAAAAAAUCAGUUGAGUGAGCAUCUCUGACACGGCAACAACUGCUGUACACUAUUUGUCACCAACUGCAUUCUCGAACGUAAUACCAGUUCGCAACCAAAUGUUAACUAUGGCGUCGUGCUGCUGUUGGUUGUUGUAUCCUUGAUGGUUGGGUCGACCACUGGUGUACCGAUGUUUCGUGGGUAUGGUUGAUACCAAACCGCAACGCCGCCGUCUAACACAACAACAACGUGCGCAACAACCGCAUACUUCACUACCAAGGCCGCUGAGUAUUACACCACAACCUGUGAUGUCCCGAACUACUUCACCGAAGCCUCAAAGUAUAAUUCUGCCUCGAGUUACACCACCAAGGCAGCGGAGUACUACACCACCAAGGCAGCGGAGUACUACAACCACCAAGGCAGCGGAGUACUACACCACCAAGGCAGCGGAGUACUACACCACCAAGGCAGCGGAGUACUACACCACCAAGGCAGCGGAGUACUACACCACCAAGGCAGCGGAGUACUACACCACCAAGGCAGCGGAGACACCACAAACUACGAUUCCGCAAUUUUCUACAUGAAAAUUUCUAAAUACUCGAGCCGAAAUUUCUGUCAGGUUAUUUAUAUUUGUCGGUUAUUUUAUGAUCAUUGGUCACUGGAAAUUAAUUAUUGAUCUUAAAAGAGAAAAUUAAAGUUUUAAUACGGGUAAUUCUUUUGUAAUACUUUUGUUAGUAACUUCAAGUUUGUCAACUUUGCGUCAGUUGUCUAUUGGUGUUGGAUUUCUUCAAGACCGGUAUGCUGAAUUGUGAAUUGUUUAUUUUAUGGUUUAGAGGUGACUACUGCCUUAUUCAUAUGGACAUGUUCUU